rnacentral:snRNA from 1 species
AUACUUACCUGGCAGGGGAGAUACCAUGAUCACGAAGGUGGUUUUCCCAGGGCGAGGCUUAUCCAUUGCACUCCGGAUGUGCUGACCCCUGCGAUUUCCCCAAAUGUGGGAAACUUGACUGCAUAAUUUGUGGUAGUGGGUG